GGAUGUGAGGGCGAUCUGGUUGCGACAUCUGUCACCCCAUUGAUCGCCAGGGUUGAUUCGGCUGAUCUGGCUGGCUAGGCGGGUGUCCCCUUCCUCCCUCACCGCUCCAUGUGCGUCCCUCCCGAAGCUGCGCGCUCGGUCGAAGAGGACGACCAUCCCCGAUAGAGGAGGACCGGUCUUCGGUCAAGGGUAUACGAGUAGCUGCGCUCCCCUGCUAGAACCUCCAAACAAGCUCUCAAGGUCCAAUAAACCACCAGAAAACCGGAAGUGGCGCUGUAGCUCAAGUGGUAGAGCCCUUGCCUUGAGCU
rfam:Dipodomys ordii contig_66005, whole genome shotgun sequence.